rnacentral:rRNA from 1 species
UACGUAGGGGGCAAGCGUUGUCCGGAAUCAUUGGGCGUAAAGAGCGUGUAGGCGGCUCGGUAAGUCCGCUGUGAAAGUCCAGGGCUCAACCCUGGAAUGCCGGUGGAAACUGUCGAGCUAGAGUCCGGAAGAGGCGAGUGGAAUUCCUGGUGUAGCGGUGAAAUGCGCAGAUAUCAGGAGGAACACCAAUGGCGAAGGCAGCUCGCUGGGACGGUACUGACGCUGAGACGCGAAAGCG